GCCCUUAAUCUGGACUGG
rnacentral:snRNA from 1 species